rfam:Pteropus alecto contig66142, whole genome shotgun sequence.
GGCUCCAUAGUGUAAUGGUUAGCAUGUCUGCUUUAUGCGCAGAAGGUCCUGGAUUCACGCCGCAGGUGGAGCCA